UACGUAGGGCGCAAGCGUUGUCCGGAAUUAUUGGGCGUAAAGAGCUCGUAGGCGGCCUGUUACGUCUGCUGUGAAAUCCCGGGGCUUAACCCCGGGCGUGCAGUGGAUACGGGCAGGCUGGAGGCAGGCAGGGGAGAACGGAAUUCCGGUGUAGCGGUGGAAUGCGCAGAUAUCAGGAGGAACACCGGUGGCGAAGGCGGGUCUCUGGGCAGUAACUGACGCUGAGGAGCGAAAGCGUGGGGAGCGAACAG
rnacentral:rRNA from 1 species